GAAAGAGGAGGGAUGCGCGGAAGAGGCAAGUGGCUGCAAUGAAUUUGCAUUGAAAGUGGCUCUUAAACGAUUUCUCCCACCCAACUGAUCCACCCUCGGCUCUGUCUUCGAUACUACGUUAACCUCUAAGCAGAUUGCAAGGUUUAUUGGGGAUUAUUUUCGAGAAUUCGAUGUUUAUCAGGAUUGAUCGCAUACCUGGCAUGACGAGGCAUGCGUCGCCACAAUAAUUACCGGGGGAUGCGUGUCUUUACGCAUAGGGCUCACGUGGAGGGGUUGUGUGGAGGGUGGCACACGCAACUUACGGUUCCAACUAUGAUUCACCUGAGCCAUCGUGUUACUAUAGUUACAUAUUUGGUAGUUACUGAUGAGAAGGAUAAAAUUUUCGUUCUGCCAUUUUUUGCACUGGAAAAGUAUAGAAAUUGGUGAGAAUCCAAAGAAGAGAUCAGAAAGAAUAAGCAUAUUCUUAAUAUUAUUGGACAUUGGAUGAAAAUGUUUAUGAACUUGAAAUAUUGACAAUGUAUAUGUGUUUAAUGAUUGUCCAUAAUUUUUUUUAUGAGAAUUUAACAAAGAGCUAAUGUUUUUUUUAGCAUUACGUCAUAUGAUUAAUGUUCUGUGAAUUUAGAUUUUUGUAAACACAACUAUUAAAAAUAGAAAUAGAAUUAAAAAAAGAUAUAUUUUAUUCUUCAAA